UCUGCGUUUGCAAACAUUGGGGUUUAUAUUACUGAGACAAUCCACCCCCAGGUUAUCCAGCUUAUCAAAAACCAUACCGACAGUAACAUCUGUUACCCCCAACAACUCUGCUGCAGUUUACAAGAUAACUUUCAACCUGGUAUUUCUGCUUUACACAAUCCAAGUUGUUGAUAAGCUCACCAAUGAAAGCUAUGAAGUACAUAUUAUUCAAUAUUAAAGUAUCCUUUGUCACAGUGCAUUUAUGGCUGCAAGAUUUCUGAACAGGCCUCGAAACCAUGUCAGGACUAGUAGAAAGACCAGUUCUGACAGUAGGUCCUCUUACUACAGGACCAACCAUGGAAGCUCCAUCAGUCUGACAGUAGGUCCUCUUACUACGGGACCAGCCAUGGAAGCUCCAUCAGUCUGACAGUAGGUCCUCUUACUACGGGACCAGCCAUGGAAGCUCCAUCAGUCUGACAGUAGGUCCUCUUACUACGGGACCAGCCAUGGAAGCUCCAUCAGUCUGACAGUAGGUCCUCUUACUACGGGACCAGCCAUGGAAGCUCCAUCAGUCUGACAGUAGGUCCUCUUACUACGGGACCAGCCAUGGAAGCUCCAUCAGUCUGACAGUAGGUCCUCUUACUACGGGACCAGCCAUGGAAGCUCCAUCAGUCUGACAGUAGGUCCUCUUACUAUGGGACCAGCCAUGGAAGCUCCAUCAGUCUGACAGUAGGUCCUCUUACUACAGGACCAGCCAUGGAAGCUCAGUCUGUCUUACAGCCUCUGCAUAUGAUACAUCAUGACAGAUUCUAUAUAUCUGAGCAUCUCUCUGCACCUGGCAUCCACCAAAUGCUGCUCUUUGUCCUCCACACAAUUGCAACACUUAACUGUCACAUUGCUCCAACAUUCACUGUAAUCAUGUUCCCCACCACACUUGGCACAUCUCUUCACUCAACAUCUACAUGUCCCAUUCUUUGGCAUUUAAAAACACUGAUGAUUCACUGUUGCUGCUCCAGUUUCAACUGUUCUGCUAUGGAACCCUGACCUGUUCACCGGACGUGCUACCUGUCCCAGACCUGCUGUUUUCAACUCUCUAGAGACAGCAGGAGCGAUAGAGAUACUCUCAAUGAUUGACUAUGAAAAGCCAACUGACAUUUACUCCUGAGGUGCUGACCUGUUGCACCCUCGACAACCACUGUGAUUAUUAUUAUUUGACCAUGCUGGUCAUCUAUGAACAUUGGGACAUCUUGGCCAUGUUGUUAUAAUCUCCACCUGGCACAGCCAGAAGAGGACUGGCCACCCCUCAUAGCCUGG